ACAGACAUGUCUUCAUGACUAAGACCUCACAUAAAAAGUGAUACCACGCAGGUGGACACAGCCGUAGGAUACGUCAUACGACUCGCAUCUGGGAGAUAUCCUGUUCGAACACUGGCCAUGAACCCGUCCGUGAAUCCCUUCAAGACAUCCGAAAUUUUAAUUACGCAGGUACAUCACAUUACAGCCAACCCCGGUUAUACCGAAUUUCUUCUGACGUCCACAUUUCACCGUCCACUCUGCAAACACAGGACAUUCGUUGUCCGAGGGCUACCGGUCUCACUAAACAGCGUUUGUCAUACACUGAAAAUGCAUUCGCUUCCUCUUUGAUCUUAGAGAUUAUAAAGGCCAGCCUCUGGGAACUACGUAGUUCGAAAUCAUUGGUUUCCGUGUUGAAAUUAAACUUGAAGCAAAAGCCAUAGUACAGAAAAGUGAAUCAUAUAGCAUCUAAAAUUAAUAUCCCAAAUGUGCUUCAACUAGGCUACAUAUGAAACAUCACAGGGAACAGAUGGCGUAUCAGAUGCUUCUAAAAUAAAAUGGUAGACACUUUCGUGUUAGGCCCUAUGCUACAAUCAUUAUUAGGAUGGUCAAAUCAAGGAGGACGUAAUGACAGUCGUCUACAUAGGAGAAUAAUAUUAAAAUGUAUUUUAGGGAAUGAGGGUGGAAAGGUACUUACUGGAUCUAUCAUAUGCCUUAGGAUAAGGACUGGUUGUUGGUCCUGUGAACACACUAACAACGCUUUCUUUGGGUUCAUCAUCCGGUGUUUGAUUUCCGGUAGAAGCAAGAAAAUCUUUCCUUCGCCACCGGCUCUAGGUCGUAUCCAGAGAGACGUCUGGUACUUACAGCGCUUCUAGCAAAUUAAAUGGACCGGGAGAGGGGAAGAUGAUUGCUCACCUUCAACAUUAUCACAAUAAAUACCACACAUACCACUACUAGUGCCGAGGUUAAGAAUGCGUGGAUUAUGUAUGCCUUCACUUCCCAAUACUCCUUCAUUACAGUGCUUAACAGGACGCAAAGACACGUCCUCGUGGCUUGUGGUGUUAAUUUUAGGACAGAGGAAAUUUUCACCCUUGCCUUACAAUGAAUACGAUACACAAACAAAAGAAAGAAUUUUUGUAGAAUAUAAUCCAGCUUUCGAUAUGAAUAAAUAUCAUGCAGUCGUGUGCGUGCCAUGUAAACAAGAAUCUAUACAAAUAAAACAAUACUACUAAAGAACGUACUAAAAAAUCUACGCGGUGGCGUACAAAUCCACGCAUUUCCGGGGACAAGACAUUAAAUUAAUCACGAAUGCCGUCUACUCUAGUUUAGGUACAGAAAUAAUGCAUACUUUAUUCCAAUUGCACGCAAUCCACGAGUAAAAUACGCCUGUCUAAAAACGCAAAAGUUCCCCACAACACACAAGAAAUAAAAAAAAAAACGUACCAGAGUAGUGCUGAGGAAUGUUUCCAGUAGGGGAGAAGGGGGCUAGUUGUUACAUGGGCAAGUUGUUAUAUUUUAGUUAAGUGGUAUAUUGUCUGUAAUUAAUUACUUAAUAAAGGUCAGAAGUGUUCCUUCUCUUUACUAAUACAAUGUGUUGUAACAAUUUUCCCCUUCACUGUAACUAACACCUAACAGGACACAUCGUUACAAACCGCCUUCUCUUAAAUAAACAAGUUUUGUGGCGAAACAAAAAUAAAUAGGCCUUUGAAAAAAUGUUAUUAAUACAGCCGAAUAAUAGUACUACCUGAAGCCAUAAUUGCUAACUUCGUAAAUUUUAAGAAUAAUUGUACAAAAAAAAUCGUAAUUGAAAAUUGUAAGAACUAGCCCCAGUCUCCCCUAACGUAGCCUACUAACACUUACACAGUUCCCAUGCGUGAGAUUUUUGUUACAUUUUUCCCACUUCCACCAGCGAUUCAACCUAUCUUGUGCGGAAAUGGCCGUGGGGUGAAAAGAAAAGGGGUUGUACUGAAAUAUACGUCUGGUGGCUUACAUUAUACAGCCACCGCCCAGCAAGGAAGAGGGUACAUCAAAACAAUAUGCUCUUACUAUCUCUCAGAAUCCAUCCCAUCAGCAUAAUGCUUCUGAAACGCAGACGUGACUGACAGCAGAUAUGGGAGUGCGAAAAUUCACCAGAAAAAAGUAUAAAGAAUAUGGAAGGGAUAAAGUUUCUUAUACUUCAAAAUGAAGGCAAGAAAUGGAUGACCGCAGGCUCUCCAAAACCACCAAAUCAGCAAACCACAGCAGAUAAGCCAUCUAGUCCAGACAUUACCGCUUUUACUGAAACCGAAAUGUCAUCAAAAUACCCACAAAAAAGCGCCACUGAAUUCUACGGCUGGGAUAACAACAGGAAGAUCUAUCUUGUGCUAAUACAUUUGUGAAAUAAAAGGUUCUCACAGCGACGGGUAUGAAAAUGGCAGUCUUCUCGGAUAAUGCUCUGUGUGACCUCACAGACCUACUGGGUGGAGCUUAAGUGCAUCGACCUGAUGAUGGAGGAAUUUAACUCAUAUGAAACGUCGGUCAAUAUCAACAAGACCAUACAGUGCAACAUUCCAGAGGAUAGAUAUUUUCCUGUAAUAUUUGUUAAGGACGUAAUGCAAAAUACGAUCAUAUUCUGUCGUUUUAGCUUCAUUUUGUAACAUAAGAUCUUUUAUAAGUUUCAGGAUCUUAUAGGUAUUGCAAAGAAUAACUAUAAACUAUGACCUACGACGCAGUGUGCAGUCUAAUUACUACUUAGUAGCAUAGACUACAAGUUUGACUUUUAUUCUCUACAGGAACGUAAAAAUGUUUCAUUAUACCUUUCUCUCUACAUCUCCAUGGCCGAAAUUUAAAAUGUAGGCCUGUCCAUCUUUAACGCUGUAGAUGGAGACAGCAUGUUUCUGCGAAACGUUGUUACGUACCUAUGAGUCUCCAUCCUCGCCGAUGCGAGAAAGUUAAAACCUCGUCAAGAAAAGACGGUGGAGAAAACCUAUUUUCAUGCACAGCAGGAUGUACGAGAAGUGGAAAGGUAGCACACGAAUUUUCAAACUACUUUCUUACAACUUCUAGAAUCUUACUAAAUGUCAUGUUCAUAUACGUUACAUACUCCUGCUUCGAAAGCUGUAAACCCCGACUUAAAAUCUUGACUCAGAGACCGGAUCUAAUAAUUCAGUUUUUUCCGUAGUUUCUUCCAGUCCUUCCAGGAUACUACCUCAAGUCAGGCCACAACCGUUUCCUUACAUAUCCUUUCCAAUUCAACAAUCUUUAAAUAAACCACAAAUCAAUUAAUGCUGUAUGCACUUCGCACCUUCCGUAGGUUAGAUUCAUUUUAAUAUUAAUAUUAUCCUCACAGAUAAGCCAUCAAACAAAAUGACUACCUGUACGUCUGUGAUGAUGCACUUUCUGGAGCUUCUCUGUAACACUGAGUCAUGUAUUCGCUCGAGAGCGUGUCCCCAGGGUGGCUGAUAGGAGAGGAUGCCGCUGGAUAUACAUGGUGAGCUGAAAUGGAGCCAGUGUACGCUGACGGCAGCAGAUCGCGUCGUGCCCUGCUCUUCUAACACAGACACGUCACAAAACGGACACUUUUGAAAUCGGCUUUACUUACUCGUAACUAACUUCGUGGUCUUCCUUGAAAAGUUGAUAGGUAUUCCAGGUGGUGGGCAGAUUUAUAUUUAUUGUCUUCGUGGAGCCCAAGGAUUGAUCGCGACGAGACAAAAUACUGCCAUAAAACCCUGUCAUGAACUUGAAACCAUCCCAUAACCGCACACACUUUUCAUGUGCUAUGUGACUUCCAGCCUUAAGGGUUUUCAAUUAAAAUUAUAUGUGUUUCCCAUUUCUACUCCUGCGUUCUACGUGUUCCGCAGAGUUCAUCCUCCUUGAACUGAUGA